UCGGAUGCAGCAGGCCGGCAAGAUGGGCUGCUUUGGUAUAAAGACACUGGGCAGCACUUGCAUGGUGAAUUCUCUAUGGCUGUUCUUCAGGCCAAUAAUUUGCUCGAGGAUCAGAGCCAGCUUGAGUCUGGUCCCUUGAGCACUUUUGAGUCUGGCCCUUAUGGCACCUUUGUUGGUGUAUAUGAUGGUCAUGGAGGGCCAGAGACAUCGCGUUACAUUAAUGAUCA
rnacentral:misc_RNA from 1 species